UACGGAGGGUGCGAGCGUUGUCCGGAAUCAUUGGGCGUAAAGGGCGCGUAGGUGGCGCGGCAAGCGUGCGGUGAAAGCUCGGGGCUCAACCCCGAGUCGGCCGUGCGAACUGCUGUGCUUGAGCACUGUAGAGGCAGGCGGAAUUCCGGGUGUAGCGGUGGAAUGCGUAGAGAUCCGGAAGAACACCGGUGGCGAAGGCGGCCUGCUGGGCAGUGGCUGACACUGAGGCGCGACAGCGUGGGGAGCAAACAGG
rnacentral:rRNA from 1 species